GAUGAAGAACGCAGCGAAAUGCGAUAAGUAAUGUGAAUUGCAGAAUUCAGUGAAUCAUCGAAUCUUUGAACGCACAUUGCGCCCGCCAGUAUUCUGGCGGGCAUGCCUGUUCGAGCGUCAUUACAACCCUCAGGCCCCCGGGCCUGGCGUUGGGGAUCGGCGGAGCCCCCCGUGGGCACACGCCGUCCCCCAAAUGCAGUGGCGGUCCCGCCGCAGCUUCCAUCGCGUAGUAGCUAACACCUCGCGACUGGAGAGCGGCGCGGCCACGCCGUAAAACACCCAACUCUUCUGAAGUUGACCUCGAAUCAGGUAGGAAUACCCGCUGAACUUAAGAAUAUCAAUAAGCGGAGGA
rnacentral:misc_RNA from 1 species